AGUGAACGCUGGCGGUAGGCCUAACACAUGCGAGUCGAACGGCAGCACAGUAAGAGCUUGCUCUUACGGGUGGCGAGUGGCGGACGGGUGAGGAAUACAUCGGAAUCUACUUUUUCGUGGGGGAUAACGUAGGGAAACUUACGCUAAUACCGCAUACGACCUACGGGUGAAAGCAGGGGAUCUUCGGACCUUGCGCGAUUGAAUGAGCCGAUGUCGGAUUAGCUAGUUGGCGGGGUAAAGGCCCACCAAGGCGACGAUCCGUAGCUGGUCUGAGAGGAUGAUCAGCCACACUGGAACUGAAACACGGUCCAGACUCCUACGGGAGGCAGCAGUGGGGAAUAUUGGACAAUGGGCGCAAGCCUGAUCCAGCCAUACCGCGUGGGUGAAGAAGGCCUUCGGGUUGUAAAGCCCUUUUGUUGGGAAAGAAAAGCAGCAGGUUAAUACCCCGCUGUUCUGACGGUACCCAAAGAAUAAGCACCGGCUAACUUCGUG
rnacentral:rRNA from 1 species